AACGAACGCUGGCGGCAGGCUUAACACAUGCAAGUCGAGCGCCCCGCAAGGGGAGCGGCAGACGGGUGAGUAACGCGUGGGAACAUACCCUUUGGUUCGGAAUAACUCAGGGAAACUUGAGCUAAUACCGGAUACGUCCGUAAGGAGAAAGAUUUAUCGCCAAAGGAUUGGCCCGCGUCCGAUUAGCUAGUUGGUGAGGUAACGGCUCACCAAGGCUACGAUCGGUAGCUGGUCUGAGAGGAUGAUCAGCCACAUUGGGACUGAGACACGGCCCAAACUCCUACGGGAGGCAGCAGUGGGGAAUAUUGGACAAUGGGCGCAAGCCUGAUCCAGCCAUGCCGCGUGAGUGAUGAAGGCCUUAGGGUUGUAAAGCUCUUUUGUCCGGGAAGAUAAUGACUGUACCGGAAGAAUAAGCCCCGGCUAACUUCGUGCCAGCAGCCGCGGUAAAGUGUGACUGU
rnacentral:rRNA from 1 species